CUUGGAUGUUCUUCAGAACUUGCUCCUCUGGAACAUAUAUCUUCUCAAGGGUUUUUCCAAUCUUCUUUUCCCAUAAGGAGACAAUUUCGUUGAAUGAGUAGGUGUUCUGAGGAGGCCUGAUGUAAAGGAUUUUGUUCAAGGUUCUAGGAUCAUCCGCAGCUUUAAUGGUAUAGGUGCCAAUGUCAUCCUCCUUGUUAAAAACAGCUGGAGAUGCAAAAAUGAAAUGAGUAAAAUAGAGUAGAAUCAUCUUCCUAUUCCUUCAAGCUUGGACUACUCCGUAAUUCCACUUUUUUUGUUUACAGAACACAAACUUGAAAUUAUUUUGAUAUGAAACCAAGUUAUUGUUUUCAUUUAAUGCUCAUGUCAAAAACUCUCAGCUGGAGAGCAACCCAAGAGGACUGUCAAUAUAAAAAAAGAGGCUUUAGCCCAUCCAGUUCAGAUAAUAAUGAUUAAUUACUAGAAGUGCACAAUGGUUCCUCAGUUUGACCACUCCAGGUCACAUGGAUCAUGCUAGUUUCCUGUAUUAUGGCUCAAUUGCAAUGUAGCACCCAAGCAGUCAACCUCAACUGUCGGAAGGUUUUGUUUCUGGGUGAACGGGUUUAACCAGCUGGGGAAAGGGGGAGUGGGGUGGGGUUGUCCAGGUUUCAAAUAGCCACAUUCUGAUUUUCAGGAAUAUAGACCAUUCUCACCUCAACAACGCUGGCAACCCCAUCAAUUUUUUUGCCUGGAGAAGGAUAAUAUGCAGCUAUUGGUUGGUGAAAUGGUAAAUUACACUCUCAAAAGGAUUCCAUGCUCAUCUACAUAACCCGCUGAUUAGUAUUACUUUUUAAGCCCACUAUCAUCAGAUGUCACUGAUACAUGGACCGGUGCAUUCUAACAUCAAAACGAGAAAAUGCAAUGGGAAAUUAAGUUGUAUGAUUUUCAGAGGUUGCUUACCUUUUGGAUUCCCAUCUCCUAAAAUAAUAACUUUAUCCCUGGGGGGAGCGGUGGCUCCAGGCUGUGAAAAUGUAGGAAGGAAAAAGCCAGCAAAUGUGUUGGAGGACACAUAGGUGUAGGGAAUUCCUUCAGCCUCAAUAGUGCGGCGGAUUUGAGCCUUUAUCUCAAAGGCUGUUUUUGCUGGCUCAACCGCAUGUACACGGUCCACAUCAUUUCCAAACUCUGAUGGGAAGAAUCUCUGGAUGAAAUAAAGCACUUUAAGAAGAAGCUGUAUAACUCAAUAGAUUGAAAAACGGGUCAUAUCUAUUUAGUCAUAUUAGCUCACGACAGGGAUCCUAUAUGGGAUACACUUUGACGAACUUGAUACAAGUGUUCAGCAACCAUAAAGACAUACAAUUAGCAAUUCAAACGAUGGAAGGAAAGAGUGCACUGAUCAGGAUUCUUAAAAAGUGAAAGAAAAAACCAUGUAAGAAAUGUGAAAAAAAAAACUACCAAACUUCAUUCAUAGAAGGAAAAUGCGCACUAAUCAGGAUGCUUAGAAGAUGGAAGAAUAAAAACUAAAUGAAAACAGGAGAAAAAAAAAAAAAAAAACUUCAUUCUUGUUUAGUUGUCUUGCUGCUUUUUGAAGCCUUUUGUAUACCAUUUGUCUACAUUGGGUGUGCUGUCUUUUUUUGUUAGGCGCUUCUCUGUUAAUAUAGUUUGUUUUUAGCCUAUCAAAAAAAGGGGGGGGGGGGGGUGGUGGUUGUGGGUGUAUACAAUGGAUUGGAAGUGGUAUAGCAUGCCCCAUGAAAGGGAAUUAGUAUUUAAAAUUUUUUCCUUUUUACAUCAAAAAUUAAGAUUGACUUUAAAGCAUCGAUCCAACCUGAGUCAAUGCACAUGGAUCUAGACAAGAAUCAAGAUUGUUGAUCCUCAAUGAAUAUUGUAUAUAUGGAAUGUUCUUUCAUGCACUUCCAACAUUUCUAAAGAAGGUAUUAUUACAUUAUGCACAAAGGAUAAAGAUAUCACCAACAAAUUAUAACAAAUUCCAAUAAUAAAUAUCAUAGUACUCGGAUUUGCAAAGAAAAGAGGGAAUUAGAAAGAAGAAAAGGAGAAAAGGAGAGAAAUUUCGUCAAUUUGGACAACUUUACCUUGACAUUUCCAGCUUCUUUGAUGGCAGCAAUGAUCUUGACUUGAUCCGACAACUGUGCGCGACCAACGGUCGAGAUGACCACAUCCACUAGAUUAAUCGCCUUCACCAAACUCUCGUGAUCGUAUAGAUCACCCUGCAACAUAACAUAACCAAUCAAUAAACUAUUUCAUAACCCUAAUUCCCCAGUUAAGAAGUAAGAAUCCAAAAGCAGGUGUGUUUUUUCACUUUACUGAAACCAAAAUAACUUAAAACAUAAACAUCCGAACUUUUCUUUUCCUGAGGAUCGCCACUUUUUUCUUUCUGGAUGAAUGAAGAAUUCCAGUUUUCGUUUUUUUAGGAACUUAAACAUCCAAAAAUUCAAGAACUCCAAUUAAUUUCAUUCAUUUUCUCGGCGGCCAAAAGAAGCAAAAAUUAGAAAACCAAGAAUAGCGAGAAAUGAGAGCGAAUAUUACGUACAUACACCAAAGUCACGCCGGAGCUCUUGAAAAUCUCAAUGAUUUCCGACUUGGAAGGAUUCGAAACGGCGGAUUCUCUGACGAGAGCGAAGGUAGGGUGACCGGACUUAGCGCUGGCAGCGACGAUGAAUUUUCCGAUGUAGCCAGUGCCGCCGAUUAUGAGAAUCUUGCUCUUUUCGGACAUUGUGAGCUUUUCCGGCGAAUCUCCCGCGAGAAAUGUGGAAUUGAGAGGACUAAGCGAAAGGUGACUGGAGAGUUGGUGGGCACCAACGGCCAAAGACAAUGCUCUUGUAGGACAGAGCUCGAGGAUAUUAGGAUUAUGUAAUUACGGAACUAGCCUUGUGUUUUGGUGGUAAUCUCCGUUUUGGUUAUAUUUUGAAUGUGGCUUGAUUUUUAUGUGAUUCAUGAAUGUGUCAAAGUUCGCUUGUUUGAAAAUUGGUUUAGAUUGGAAAGUGAAAAAGUGUAUAUCACAUGAGAGAUUUAUAAAUAGAAAAAAAUGUAUUUUCACACACUAAUGUAAAAAUAAUUACAAAAUAAAAACUCUUUAAAUAAUUAUAAAAUAAAAACCCUUUAAAAAUAAUUUAAAUUUUAUGCACUCAUCGAGUACAUGAAAUGAUAAUUUAAUAUAGUUAUGUGUAACGACCCGCUCUCCCAAUAAUGACUCCCCUAGCUUUAAAAAAACGUCUUUAGGAUUAAGAUUGAUACUAUUUAUAAUAACUCGUAAAACCUAAAAAGGUCAUCACGACUUUAAAAUGCGUUUGCAAGAUUAAAAAAAAAUAAAAAAAAUUAUACUUAGAUAGUGUUAGGAACUUUCUCCCCUAUCUGAUGUGUGAUGUUACAAAUAUCCCCCAUGCAGACACAACAUCCUUGUUGUAUCUCAUGGAAUUGUGGAAUUAGAAUGAUAAUUUAAUGUAAUUAUGUGUAACGAUCCACCCUAUUUGAUGUGGGAUGUCACAAAUAUCCUCAUGCAGACACAACGUCUUUGUUGUAUCUCAUGGAAUUGUGGAGUUAAAAUGAUAAUUUAAUGUAGUUAUGUGUAAUGACUCGUUGUCCCAAUCAUGUAGAUAUUAUUCGUUUUGGACCCAAAAAAUGACUUUCCUGACUUUAAAAAAACGUCUAUGUGAUUAAGAUUGAUAUCGUUUAUAAUAACUCGCAGAACCUAAAAAGGUCCCCACGACUUUAAAAUGUGUUUACAAGAUUUUUAAAAAAAAUUAUACUUAUAUAGUGUUAGGAACUUUCUCUCCAUAUGAUGUGAGAUGUCACAAACAUCCCUAUGCAGACACAACGUCCUUAUUAUAUCUCAUGGAAUUAUGGAGUCAAAUAGACAAACACUCCCUAUGAGGCAAACAAACUCCCACACCGAAAUCAGAGAUCAAUUCCGAUAUUAUUUGUAACGAUCUACUCUCAAUUAUAUAAAUAUUGUCCAUUUUAAUCCGAAAGGGCAUUACAGUUUUAAAACGUGUGUACAGGAUUAAGAAAAGCCUUUACAUAUACAGUGUCAUGAUUUUUUUUUUCCUAUCGGAUGUGAGAUGUCAUAUUAUGAAUCCGUCAUUCUGUCUUUAUUCAUUUGUUGCAUUUAAGAUAUUUGAAAAAUUGAGCGAUUUUAUAAAAUGAGUUUUGAAAAGGCAUGAGAGAAGGAAAAAGAUACUAGUUUAAUUAAGGCUUACAACCCGGUCUUCUUAAAGGGUGGUUAAAUUCCCUGCCUAUUAAAUUUCUUAUCAGGUCGUUAGUCAAUGGAUCUAUUAAAUUCUAGUAUGACUUUGUAGAGUAGUAAUUACUCCAUGGGUGAGUAAUUAUUAAUAUGUAGCUGGGAUCAUUAGUAUAUUUUACUACAUUUCCAAUAGAAAAUGCUACCUCAAAUAAGUUACAUGUCUCCGCGAGACACUCAAGAAUUUCAGCAUAUUCCAAGACUUGACUUCCAAGUUAGCCAAAAGACAUGGAUAUGAGAUUUCAAUUGAAAUGAUUAAACCUUUUUAGAAUGUUUUCACUAUAAUUUCAUCGGCACAAAAAAAUAAUUAUAAAACACUAAAAUCUCUUUUAAAAACAUGUCUUUUAUUUUUAAAUUUAAACACUUACUCAUCAUUUUUAUUAGGAAUGAUAAUGAGACAAGUUUUUUUAGAUAUUUGUCUGCCUUGUUCUUAAUGAAAUGGGUUUAAAAUUUAAAUAAACGAAAUUAGAAUGAAUUUGGGAUUUUUUUAAAAACUUGGUACUAGCUAUUGUCUUUUCUCAUCCUAUCUAAAUUAUAUAUAAAAUUAAUUUAGUUUUAUUUUUAUUUCCCUAUUUGAUAUAUAUAUAUAAUUAUUUAUAAAAUACAUUUAUUUUAAUGUAAUUAAAUUUAAAAAAAUCAAAAUAAAUAAAUAAAUAAGACGAGAUGGGCAUGAAAAAUUCACAUACCUACCUUAUUUAAUUUUUUAAAUAAGAUAGAAAUGAGAAUUAUUUUGAAUAAACAAGAUAAGGUUGAAAUGAGAUCAACUCGUCUUAAACUAGUCUCGUUGCUAUCUCUAUUUUUUAUACUUUUUUAGUUGAAAGGGAUAAAUGAAUUAAAGUUAAGGAUUAAGAUUAAAUAUUCUACUUUACAAAAAAAAAAAUGAGACUAUUAAAUAUUAUUAGAAUUUUAUCAACUAGUCAUAAGAGUUUAAAAAAGAAAAUAUUGAUGAACAAUUCGUAGGAGGAAAUGAAUUGAGAAUAAAUUGACCUAGUGAACCUUCAGUUGCAUUGCCUCCUACUAUGUUCCACUUAUUCAGAAACGAAAGAGAAAGGAUGAGGGAUCUAUAACUAUAAGUUAAAAGGACAAAGGAUCAGGACAAAUAGAGGAUAUAUAUUAUGAGAUAUUAUUUCUAAUAGAAUAUGAUAUUUUAAAAUAUUGCAUUUAAUAUCAUUUAGAAAUUCUUCUCUUAUUUUUAUUUUAAUAAAUAAUUUUUAGUAUUUUAGUAAUAAUGUUUAUGAUUAUAAAUAAUAUAUAUAUAUAUAAAAUUAUAUUAUAUACUAAUAUGCUAAAUAUUUAAAAGCAUUACUAGUAAUUAAAUGAUACUAUAUAUUAAUAUGAUCAUUAUAAAUUUUAUUAUACAUAUAUUUUUUAAUUCUUUUAUUAAGAAGAAUAAAUUUAUAAUGUCAGUUAUACCUUAGGAUUGUUGUAUUUAACAUAUAGAGAUACAAAAGCGAGGAAAAAUGCAAAAGAAACUAUGAUUGAGUUAUUCUAUCAUUUACCGACCAAACAUGAUACAAAAUAUAUUAUCUCAUCUUUUAUCUUAUAUUAUAUUAUAUUCAACAAACUAAACAUAACAUAAUAGACCGACAUUCUAUCAAAUUUCUCGUAUUGUGAUUUUAAAACUUGAAUAGUUCAUGAACUAAACAUUAUUGCCUUUUCUUGUCUCAAUGGAAUAAGCGUUUUAAUUGUUCUAUAUGCAUUUCUUCAUCAAGCUCCCUCUUUUGAGCUAGAAAUAUUAUAUUAGGAGCUAGGUACUCCUUUUUGUAUAGCUCCAUCUCUAAUAAGGUACCAAAGAAGAUAAACUACAAAGGCAAAGAAAAUCUAAUUCCAGAAACUUCUACUUGCAUAAGAUUAGAAAGGCACAUUGUCCUAUUACAGAAUAUGCCCAAUGGCAUAGACAAGGAAAUAACCCACUAUUUUCCACACAACAUAUAUUAAGACAGCUGCACAUGUUUGCUUGUUUAGAUAGUGCAGCAUGACAGUGAAAACUACCAGGACCGAAGUCUACCUCUCAAACAAGCUGGUUGAGCAACUCAUCCACAGUUGUGUAUUUGACAUCGGGAUAUAGCUCUGAAGCCUCCACCCCAAAUGAUGGCUCGAUCUCAAAGUUGGUUUGGUCUCCCUUAAUGAAAACAGAGUGAUCGAUUGAUAAUAUUGCAUUGAGUGGAGCAGAGGCUUCUGCAAGAAACAGAGGAAAACCCAUCAAUAUGAAGAUUUUAGCCAUCAGAUCAACUAUAUAAACAGAUUUUGGGGCGAAAAUAGCCUCUAUAACUGAAAAAUUAUCAUAUGUGGAUACCUUCUUUAACUUAUUAUCAAGCUAGGCCUCUUCAUGUCACCUUGGAGUCAUUUAAUUUAAUUUUUUCCUUUUUAAAUGUAAGUUGAAAAUGCAUUUUGAAAAGAGUGUUUGGACACACGAGUCAAAAUAAUUAUCAAAUUGUAAAAAUAACCCUUUUUUCAAUUUUGUUGAGAGAUCCCAGCAGUCAAAAUAAUCAUAUAAUCAAACCCAGUCUUUUUCUUCCCAACCUUUUUUUUUUUGGCCUUAUCUUAAACUUGCUCUAUUUCUUUUUCAUUUAAGACACUCCAGAAAAACUCAAUCUCAUUUCAUAAUGUCCCACUGAAUUUUCUUAUCUCUCAAACAACUUCUCAUUCUCAUUCGUGAUGUUCACCUAAAGUGUUCUAUGAUUAAAUUUUAUUUAUUACGAAUUUAACUAAGGUGAAAUUUUCAUUAAGAUUGGUUAGCUGAAUUGCACUAGUGUUAUGUUUGGUUGUAAAAAACUUAGUUAGAGUUAAAUUUUCAAUCAUAAUAGUAAUAUGAACUCCACUAUGGUUAAGUUUUAUUUACAAAAAACUUAAGUGGGGUUAGAUUUCUAUUUCAUCUACAAAGAACCUGAUUAUGGUAACUUGAACAAUCCUCUGGUUAAGUUUCAUUUAGAAAGAACUUGAUCAGGGUUAAGUUUCCAUUUCACCUAUAAAGAACUUAAGUAAGAUCAAGGUCUUAAUUAAAAUGUUCAUUUGCAUUGAACUACCAAAACAUCGGACUUAGUAAAAACAAAGUUAGAUGAGAGAUCUAGUAAAUGAUAAGUUUCUAUCUGAUCUCGUCGUCAACAUUGUAGAAGUUCAAAUGAAAUUGCAAAAUAACCCUAAUAAAAAAAAAAUUAGAAAAAACCUCUAACCAAAAACAAUGACAAAAAACAAAACUAAAAACAAAGAGAAAGACGAGAUUCGAUCUCAUUUUCGUCACUAUAGAAACUUACAUGAAACUACAAAAAACCUUAGCAAAAAACAACGACGAAAAACAAAGAGAGAUGGAGAUCUGACCUCAUCUUCUAUAUUGUAGAAGUUCAAAUGAAGUUGCAAAACCCCUAACAAAAAACAACUCCUAAAAUUUGAAAUAGAUAAGGCUCUAAUCUUUGUUCAAGGGUUUGAACUUCACCAGAAAAAGAGAUAGAACAUGAACUUAGAGAGAAGGAGAAGGCUAGGUAUAAAAAAAUGGAAGGGGCAUUUUUGGAGGAAAGAAAGAAGAGUAAAAAUGUCCAAAAUUGGUCAUUUCUCAAAGGGAAGUCAUUAUUUCGAUUUUAAAAGCAUUUUAGUCGACUUCAAUCGAGGUCCGGGGCAUGAUCACCAGAUUUUACCAGCAGGUCAGCUAACAUUUUCUAAGUUAAAAACAAUUUAACCAAGAACCAAUUUCAUUUUAACAAUCUAGCAUAAAGAGAAUGUUCUAUUCACAAUCUCUGUUCCAAUUUAAAUUCACUAGGAAAACCAAAACUUGAACACUUCCAAAAAGGAAAAUGUUUCUCACUAACCUUGGAUGUUCUUCAGAACUUGCUCCUCUGGAACGUAUAUCUUCUCAAGGGUUUUUCCAAUCUUCUUCUCCCACAAGGAGACAAUUUCGUUGUAUGAGUAGGUGUUCUGAGGAGGCCUGACGUAAAGGUUUUUGUUCAAGGUUCUAGGAUCAUCCACAGCUUUAAUAGUAUAGGUGCCAAUGUCAUCCUCCUUGUUAAAAACAGCUGGAGAUGCAAAAGUGAAAAUGAGUAAGAUAGAAUAGAAUCACCUUCUUAUUCCUUCAAGCUUAGACUACUCUGUAAUUCCACCUUUUUUCUUUUACAAAACACAAACUUAAAAUUAUUUUCAUAUGAAACCAAGUUAUUGUUUUCAUUUAAUGCUUAUUUUUUCAAAAACUCUCAGUUGGAAAGCAAACCCCAGAGAACUGUUGAUAAAAAAAAGAGGCUUUAGCCCAUCCUGUUCAGUUUAAAACCCAAUAAUAAUUAUUAGUUACUGGAAAUGCAUAAUGGUUCCUUCAGUUCAACCCCUCCAGGUCACCUGGAUCAUGCUAGUUUCCUGGAUUAUGGCUCAACUGCAGUGUCACACCCAAGCAGUUGACCCCAGCUGUCCGGUUUUCAAAUAGCCACAUUUUGGUUUUCAGGAAUACAGACCAUUCUCACCUCAACAACACUGGCAACCCCAUCAAAUUUUCUGCUUGGAGAAGAUAAUAUGCAGCUAGUGGUUGAUGAAUGCACAUUCAAAUAACCCAUUGAUUAGUAUUACCUUUUAAGCCCACUAUCAUCAGAUGUCAUUGAUCAUGGGAGCGAGUGCAUUCUAAGGUCAAAAGAAGAAAAUGAAACAGAAUUUCAGUUGUUUUACGAUUUUCAGAGGUUGCUUACCUUUUGGAUUACCAUCUCCUGGAAUAAUAAUUUUAUCCCUGGGGGGACCAGUGGCUCCAGGCUGUGAUAAUCUAGAAACGAAAAAGGCAGCGGUGGCUUCAAGCUGUGAUAAUCUAGGAAGGAAAAAGCCAGCAAAGAAGUUGGAGGACACGUAGGUGUAGGGAAUCCCUUCAGCCUCAAUAGCGCGGCGGAUUUGAGCCUUUAUCCCAAAUGCUGUUUUUGCAGGGCCAACCGCAUGGAUACGGUCCACAUCAUUUCCAAACUCUGAUGGGAAGAAUCUCUGGAGGAAAUAAAGCACUUUGAGAAGAAGUCAUAUGACUUGAUAGAUGAAAAACCACUCAUAUCUAUUUAGUCAUAAUAGCUCACAGACAGGGAUCAUCCAUGGGAUACACUAUGAUGAACUUGAUACAAGUGUUCAGCAAGAAUAAAGUUACACUUAGCAAUUCAAAUGAUGGAAGGAAGAAGUGCACCGAUCAGGAUGCUUAAAAAGUGAGAGAAAAAACUAAAUGGAGAAGGUGAAGAAAAAAGCUACCAAACUUCAUUCAUGAAAGGAAAAAGUGCACCAAUCAGGAUGCUUAAAAAGUGGAAGAAAAAACUAAAAGAAAAAAGGUAAAAAAAAAAAAAAAAAAAACCCACCAAACCUCAUUCUGUCCUGAAUCACUUCAGUUUUAAUUUUUAAUUUUUAAUUAUUUAAUUAGUGCUCAAAACAUUUGACACUAUUAAAUUAGUCAUUUGACAUAAUGUAUAUGAUGUUAUCCAAUACCCUAUGUUUGUUGCAUAAGUAUAGUCUCCUUACACAUGGGUUCAAUAAAUUGAGAAAAUGAAUAAACGGUGAAGUUUGAACAAAUGAUUUCCAACCAAAAAAAGGAUCUUAUGCCAUGUUGGACAACCGAUUUACCUAAAACUUAAGUUGUUAGGAUUUAAGCCCACGGUGUAUAUCAUGUUGCCCAUCAGUAUCUAUAUCCAACGAAAGGUCAAGAACCUCCUUGAAACGAUCCUAUUCUAACUUGCCCCUAGCUGCCAAACCCUCAAGGGCAUUAGCCUAAGGGCACAAAGUCAAUAUAGCUCAAGAACCUUCCUGAGAUGUUCCUAUUCCAGCUGACCCUAGCGGCUAGAUCUUCAAGGGCAUUAGCCUAAGGGUGCAAAGUAAAAACCAAGUUUGAGAACCUCCUUGAAAGGACCCGAUUAUAAUUGGUCCCUGGCAGCUAGGCCUUCAGGGACAGAGCAUAUGAGUGUAAAGCCAUUCCAGGACAAGAACCUCCUUAGAAGGACCCCAUCACAAUAGACCCCUAUUGGAGCCUAAGAACAAAAAAUGAAUAAUCAUAUGAAGAAAUAAUAAAACAAAGCAUAAAAGAUAGAAGAGAAGAUAAAAAUAACAAUAUCCUAUGCCACCUCAUUGUCCCCUCCUUCCUUGGAUGAUGCCUCGCUUUUAUCAUUGUCCUCCUCAUCGAUUUCCCCCAAGGCCUUCAUUCGACCCAUGAGCUUGUCGACUUUCAAAAAAUGCUCUUGCAUUAUUGAACCUUAUGAAUAAAAUUAUCUUUUACCACUGUCCACAAAUGAUUUUUUUUUUAAAAGAAUGGCUUUGUCUUAGAGUUCUAUCCUUUUCUUUCUGUUUCUCAUGGAUAAAAAAAACCCCAACCCAAAUAUUUUUUUAUAACAAGGAUAAUUUUUUAUACCUAAAGAAUUAAAAUCGACUUUCAAACACCUAAGCGUUGAGACUCAACUCAAUCCAACCUCAGUCAAUUAACAUGGAUCCAGCAAGAAAAGAUUGUUCAUCCUCAAUGAAUAUUGUGAAGAUGGAAUGUUCUUCCAUGCCUUUUCAACACUCUCAACAUUUCUAAAGAUGGUAUUACUACAUCAUGCGCAAAGGAUAAAGGAAUUACCGACAAAUUAUUACAAAUUCCAAUAAUAAAAAUCAUAGGAACUUGUAUUUGCAAAGAAGAGAUGGAAAUAGAAAGAAGAAAAGGAGAGGAAGAGAUUUCGUCAAUUUGGACGACUUUACCUUGACAUUUCCAGCUUCUUUGAUGGCGGCAAUGAUCUUGACUUGAUCCGAGAACUGUGCGCGACCAACGGUCGAGAUGACCACAUCCACUUGCUUAAUCGCCUUCACCAAACUCUCGUGAUCGUGUAGAUCUCCCUGCAACAUAACAGAACCAAUCAAAAAACUAUUUCAAAGCUGUAAUUCUUCAAUAAGAAGUAAGAAUUCAAAAAUUGGUGUGUGUUUCCACUUUGCUGGAACCAAAGCAAAUCAAAACAUAAACAUCCAAAAUUUUCUUUUCUUUUCCUGCGAAACACUACUUUUUCUUUCUUUCUGGAUGAGUGAAGAGUCUCAGUUUUCUUUUUCUUAGGAACUUAAACUUCCAACUCCAAUGAACUUCGUUCAUUUUCUCCGCGGCCAAAAGAAACAAAAACUAGAAAAGAAAAAAUGGCGAGAAAUGAGAGCGAACAGUACGUACAUAUACCAAAGUCACGCCGGAACUCUUGAAACUCUCAAUGAUUUCCGACAUGGAAGGAUUCGAAACGGUGGAUUCUCUGACGAGAGCGAAGGUAGGGUGACCGGACCUAGCGCUGGCAGCGACGAUGAAUUUUCCGAUGUAUCCAGUGCCGCCGAUGAUGAGAAUCUUGCUCUUUUCGGACAUUGUGAGUUUUUCCGACCAAUCUCCGGCAAGAAAUGUGGAAUUGGAAAAGGCUAGCAAGCAGUAAGCAAUGACGACUGACGAGUAGUGCAGUACUGCAGUGUUCUUAUAUAACAAAGCUUGAGGCUAUAUAGAUUAUGUAAUUACGAAACUAGCCUUUUCUUUCAGCAGUAAUUCCCGCUUUGGUCAUCAUAUGUAUGUGGCUCGAUCUUUGUAUGAUUCACGUGUCCCGAUUCAUAUUUGUUUGAAAAUCGGCUUAGAUUAGUCCAAUUUACAAGACUACACCAUCUUUAAUUUGACAAGAGCAUAUAAUAUAUAUAUAUAUUGUAGCAAUCAUUAAUAUUUUAUUUUAUUUUUGGCACGUGUAAUUUUAUCUCUAGCUCCCAUAUCUUAUUUUAUUGCACACUUUUGACUCCGUUUGGCCAUAUUGAUAUAUAUCAUAGAUUUGCCUUAGAUUUUGGUUAAUAAAAUUUUAAUCAUUAUUGCACGUUUUUAUUCUCCACCCAUGUUUAAUAGUAUAUUUUAGAGACUUAUCGUGGAUAACCACCCCUUCACCUCUCCUACUGAAUUGUCAUUUGAUAUUGCUUGGGGAUCCCACAGAGUUGUCUAGUUGAUAGGUUGAUAAAAUUUACAUGCACGGUCAUUUUCAUGUCCUUAAAGCAAAUACAAAUUAAAAUGUGAUCGAUUGAUGCUAAGAUUUGAAUUUAUCUAUUUAAUAUAAAAUUGUCAUGGUCAAAUGUUUAUUGCUACUCCACGAUAGAAUGAUGAUUUUUAUUUUUGUGACAGUAACAUUUCAAAUUAUAAAAAACAAUGAAUUAAACAAUAUUUUUAUAUUCUUUACAAAAUCUUGGAUGUUUAAAAUUAGACCCUUUAAAUAGACACGUGACUUAAAUGGAAUACCAUAUUUGGGAAUGCACUACACUUAACUUGGAUUGGAAUAUAAUUCAAAAUGGAUAACAAUUAGGAAUGCACCAUGCUUAUUUGGAAUUAAGGGAGAGAGGGAUGACUGUUGGAAUCAUGAAAUGUUAUGGAACGGACCCCUUUUUAAAGAUGUAGAUGUCCCUUAAAGAAACGCUUCCAUCAAAAGAGUUGCACCUAACUAAUAAGAGAUGGGAAUGACUUCCAAAAAAUGUAUCACUUCAUGUUGGUGGCCUUUUUAUUAAACCUAGAAGCAUGUGGGGUUAGGCUCACACAUAUCUGGUGUGGCUUGUGCACAUGUGAGCCUAUGUUAGGCCCAAGUCCACAUUCAUCUAGUUGGAUAUAUGCAUAUGUGAGUUUAUGUAAAAACCCAUGUUUUCUUUUAAGCUUACAAAAUACUUGUAAAGUACCUUUUCGACUAGUGAUCUUCUAAGAAACGCUUCCAUCAAAAGAGUUGCACCUAUCUAAUAAGAAAUGGAAAAGGCGUCUAAAGAAGAUCUCACUUUAUGUUGUUGGUGACCUUUUUUCAAUGUUUUUAAAAUUGGACCGAUUAUUAAAUAUAAAAAAAUUACUCAUUCACGGUUCAUUAAUCGGACUGACAGUUGAACCAGUAACGUCAUAAAUAUAUAAUUUAUAAAUUAUUAAAAUAAAAAUAAAAAUGUAUGUAUUGUUUAAAAAUUAAAAUUUUAUUUGAAAAUCAGAAAAUUAGUUUUAAAAUUAAAAUUAAAAUUAAAAUCAUGGGGGGGAGGGGGAGGGGAGGGGGUUCGUUCUGCCAGUGAGAGAGCGACGUCCGACCAAUCAGCAAUUGACGAUAGUGGGAAGAAGCAGCUAGGGUAGUAGGGUAAGAGGGGUUAUUGGAAAAAAUAAUAAUAAUAAAAGAAAGGUUGAACGGUUCAAUGGUCAAAUCGUCGGUUCAAUCGGUCUAAUUCUGGUUUGACUACUUUUCGACCUAAUUCAUCAAACCAAACCGAAAUUGUGACUUGCUGGUUCGAUCCAAUUUUUAAAACCGUGUAUUUUUAUUAAACCUAAAAGGUGGGUGUAGGAUCACACCUAUCCAAUGUGGCUUGUGCACACGUGAGCCUAUGUUACGCCCAUGUACACAUUCAUCCAAUUAGGUCCAUGCAUAUGUGAGUUGAGGUUAAAAACCAUGUUUUCUUUUUACCUUACAAAAUACUUAUAAAGUACUUUUUCUGACUACUAAUCUUCUAAUGUGGGAUUGCUUUUUUCCACCACAUUCCACAUGAAUGCAUAGGUAACUUUGAGCUCAAUUUGUCAUUAACCCAUAAAUGGUUUUGAGUAUGUAAAUUUCUUAUCCACCAAUACCUACUCGUGCAGACGUUAUUGGUUAUCAUUUGGAGAAAGGUGUCCAACCUAUUGAUUGUUGUAAUUUAGAUUGUCCCAAUUCUAAUAGUUGUGGUUUUAAGGCCUAGAAUUGUUUCGUUGAUUCUCAUCUUAACCCUUCUCUUUAUUCAAUGACUUCCCUUGAAAGUAUUAUUUGAUGAUCUCCUAUCAGGGGGUUGGUCUCUUUCUUAUCUUCUCUUCUUUUUAAAUAGUCCAUUACCUUAUCAUGCAAUUCUUUAAAUGAGAUAGCAGUAUCACAAGCUCUCACAACAACAGUGGUCUCUUUGUAUUUUGAACCUAAUUCAUUGAGAGUGUAAACCACCAGAUCAUCAUUGUGCAAGAGUGAACUAAUAAUAGUAAGUUCAUCAACAAUACUUUCGAAGAUUUGGAUGUAUUCACUAAUAGUUUUUUGUUCUUUGAUCGUUUUUAUAGCCUUUCCCAUGAGGUUAGGAUGCAUGACCUUGAGUAAUUGGCAUUAAGUUUUUUUGGGUGAGACCAUGACUCUAAUGCCUUAGUAGCACAAACCACAAAACAAAAAUAGACUCCAAACUACAAUCUAACAUGAGAUGAAAUAACAAAUUAUUUUAAGGUUAAUUUUGUUGACUUUCCAUGAGGUUUUGACUAAAUAUAUUUAGUUCAUAUUAGUUUGAAAUUUCAUCAAAUACCUCCUCUACCCUUCUCACAAAUUAUUUCACUUACCUGUCUUCUAACUCAAAAUAAAGGAAGUAUUUGACGAUAUUUUAAAUUUAUAAAAACUAGGUAUAUUUAACCAAAACUUGAGGGAAAGUAAGUGAAAUUAACCUAAUUAUCUUACUUUUAAUAUAGCCAAUAUUCCAUAUCUCGUAUUGGUACUUUCCUUCUCCUUUCAAAUUGUUGUAGAAGGGCAAAGAUAUGACCGUUGUUACAUGUGCUAAAUCAUAGUAGUAUAUAAAGAAGCAUGCGGAACUAAACUCUUCACAAUGGAAAGUUUUUAAUCGUAGUUACAUCACUACAUCAAUCAACUCUGUGGUGCUAAUUUGGUAAAAUGUCAAAAGACUUUGACCCAUUAAAGGUAAAAAAGAAUAAAAAUAAAAAUUUGUUGUAGCAAUGGAUACUCUAAAACCAUAAAUACAAAGAAUUUAUAUAACCUAUCACUCGUAUUAUUUUACAUUGUAUAAGUUUACAAUAGAAAUGAUCGACUAAAUAUACAUUGGUAAUAUUAUAGCUUAGGGUCAAAUGUCAUGCGUUAUGAAUGUAAAGAAAAAUUGAACUUGAUGAUUUGGUUGAGCCUUUAUUUGCCAUUAAUAUAUGCCUUUAUGGACUGUCCACUGUAAAUUCCUUUCACUCCUCUCAUUGAAGAAUGAAACUCCACACUUUAUUCAAGUUUAAAAUGUUUUCUUGCAUAUUAAGGAGGAAAUUAAAAAAUAAAUAAAUAAAUAAAGGAAAGGAAAAUGAUCCGUUAAAAAACUAUAUUAUGAAUGUUAGAUAUCUUAAAAAACAAAAAAAUAUAUAUUUGUAGACCCCAUUUUGGGGAGCUGUCAUUUUUCUCACGUUUCCUUUCUUGCAGCUAGCUGUGGCCAAGUGUCACCAUCUUGCAUGGCCACGUGUCACUCCCGGAUUAGUCAAUAUGGGAUCAAAAUAGUGGAAUUGAUGGACCCAUCAGAGGAAGACACCUGGAAAGUGAAGAACAUUCUGGAAUCAGGGGAGCGUAUCUUCUGUUAUGGGAAGGUUGCCAGCUGCAGGAGUAGAGGAGUGGAGGCUGGUUGCUGCAGAGAGAGUGGAGGCUGGCAGAGGAGUGGAGGAGAGGUUUUGCUUUUGAAAAGGCCGUUAGAGAUAUUUUUAGGAUGAGGCAGCGGCAUUGAAGGGGAGAGUUUGGAGAGAUUCUUGAGGAGCAAGCUAGAUAUUGAAAAGAGAGAACGAGACAGAGAGAGCUGCAUUGAGAGGGAGGGAUUUCUUUUAAGCUGAGGCUGGUUGCUGCAGAGAGAGUGGAGGCUGGCAGAGGAGUUUUGGAGAGAAAGAGAAGGGUUUUUGGAGAGAAAGAGAAGGGGUUUUGGAGAGAAAGAGAAGGGUUUUUGGAGAGAAAGAGAAGGAGUUUUGGAGGGAACAGAGAGCUAGAGGGGGAGGAAAAACACUAGGAAGAAAAACAGAGAAAUCAGAAGAGACGGUUUUGGGUAGAGGAGGUUAUCAAGAACCAGAAGAAAAGGGCCUCCAGGUUCUUUUUGAGGGGUAAGUUUUCCACUGUGUUCUUGUUCUUUCUUUUUCUCUUCAUAUAUUGUUGUUGAGAUGCAUUGUUGUUGAUCUUUGGAUGGGUUAUACUCUGUUCUUCAUGGUUGACUGCUCCCCUUUUGCUUCUGUUUAUGGCUGAAAAUUGAUUUAAAUCCAUUUUUACCUUCUUUGUGGCAUUUUAAAGAAAGAAAAAGACCUUUUAAUUCACCCAUCUGCAAACCCACUAAUGAAGAGGUGAAGCAUAGUUCUUCAUGCUUCAUCUCAUUUUUCUUCCUCCAUGGCUCUGUUUUUGCUACUUUUCUCUCUGCUCUUCGUGUUUGGACUUUCUUGGAUAUGAAGCCGUAAUGGGGAGUGAGGCUAUGGGAUGACGAGACAGUGAGGGAUUUGGACUCCUUGAAUCCGUUUAUCCUGUAAAGGCUACUAAGGGCUUGGUAGAUCAAUGUUUGAGCAUAUGAACAGAGAGUGGUCUACACCGGGGAUACCAUUAUUGCCAGUGAUCCGUGUGGCAGAGGUUAGUGGGCUGUAGAGAGGGGAUCCUUUCUGACGGAGCAAAGGAACAAGAGAUGAAUUCAUGGGUUUUCUGAAUUGUUUUCACUAAGAAGGAGUUCACCCAGUACUCUUAGGCCUAAGAAGCUCGGCAUUUCUUUGCAAACAUAAGAAGCACAGGCUGGAACUAUGGAGGCCAUAGGUUUUACAUGGUAAAAAAGUGGGUUGACUGAGGAAUUGAGAAAGAAAUAAAGCAAGCAAAGCCGUCAUCGAAUGACGCCGGCGGCGAAGCGCCUCCACUUUGACUACGUCGUGCCCUCAGUUAUCGACUCUAACCACCGCUUCUCUAGUCUACGCGUGUCGCCGGAAGACUUGACGCUGAUCGUUUCUCUGCCUCUCUUUAUUUUCGGCUCUGUCAGGGGUCGAAACUCAUCCUCCGCUGGCGAUUGCGACGAGUGUCUCUCCUAGCUUAAGCCUCACGAUCAGCUUCGGCUGUUCCUGAUCUGCCGUCACGCUUCCCAUGCUCUAUACAUCAACACGCUGCUGGCAUCCAGUCAGGCAUGUCCUUGUAUCGUGUUCCGCAGGGAAUUCUGGGCCUGAUCUGCUCACUGUGGUGAGUGUCGCGCCAUGGAUUUUAACUGAUGGUGUCCCGACGAUUGACAAGAAGUUUUCCGGUGGAUGUGGUUCUUGGCGACGGAAGAAUCUUCGGUGGUGUGUCUAUGUACUUCGGCGAUCCUCUAAAGGACACUAAUCUCCCCAUUAGUUUACGCUGGUGACUGUGGAAGCAGAUUCCGCUUCAUCGGAAAACCCAAUCCUUCUCAAGUGCCUGGAAAAGCAGUCAUUUGUGAUCGGAACUUCACCUCGGCGCCCAAAGUCGCAGCGUUCUCCAACUGGUUUAGACAUCGACGAGAGACAAGUUGAUUUUAAUAUAAUUUCUGGCACGUCCAUUGCAUGUCCGUACGUGAGUGGAAAUAGCGACUGUGGCAGUGUACCCAAACGGCUUCACCACUCUCAAGCAUGAUGCUCUGAGAGUUGAAUUGAAAUGGAGGGGCGUUCUCAUAUUGCAAUUGUUGUUCCUAGAACUGAUGAGUCAAUCAGUAAAUUGGUUCAGCAACCUCAGAAGUUAAUAGAUCUCCGUGAGGUUCGCGAUAUUACUCAUAUGCCAUUUGCAGAAAGAGAUGACUGAAGGGAAACGGGUUCCUCUGAAUAUUACUAAAUUUGAUUAUGAAUGUUUGAGAAAGACCGCUGACAGUCAAGCAUAUUAAGGGGAUCCAUAUAAAGAAUUGUGGGUGUCCUUUGUUGACCGAGUUGGUCUUAGUCACAGAUAUCCUCAUCCAUGGCUGCUGAUAUAUCUCCUAAUUCUUCUUGAUGCUGCGGAAGAUAUUGUUGAAAUAGGAAAAACUGGGUGGAGAGAUCAAUUGUUACUCUGAUUUGAUUUUGGAUUGAAAAGGGAUGGGUUCAUUCAUGGAGCAUGUUCUGCCAGGAACGCUGUUUCUAGCAGUGAGUUUGUGGCACAUAUGCAGCGCAGUGGUGAGAUUUGUGAUGAACCCAAAGGGGUUUCAGGUUCGGGUUUUGAACCCAGUGUCUGGUUUUGAUGGAAGGCUUAGAUACUUGGAGCUUUAUGUGGUGGCAAUCGGAGCUUUUAUUGAUAUGUGCAUAGAGUUUUUGUAUUCAACUCAUCUCAAGUUCUUUGUGAAUGGGGUCUUGAACCCAUCUCACACGAAUGACUUUGAGCACUCUGGGAUGCUUCUCAUGUUCUUUAUUUUCGGGGUCGUCGCCUUGUUCUCCCAGCAAACCGGGCUUGUUCAAAACUGAAUAACCAAUGCUCAAUAGCCUUCACAUAGCUCCAUUCUGCCCUCACAUACUUCCAGCGCGUGACUUGUUUGAAUGAGAGCGACUUUUAUUGCCAAACAGUUACUUGGGGAACCGGUGACGUUACUCCUAUUGCAGGAUUGCUUGGCAAAUCUCAAUUCCAGAUUCACUUAGGAGGGAUCCUUGGCUGCUAAUUGGAAGGCUUCAAGACAGAAGGAAGCGAAGAGUGAUGAUACCAGGGAAGUGACUCAAUUAUCUACUCUACACUUGCCCGCUCAUGGCCCCAAAAUCUCAGAAGUGGUCAAGAAGUUGGAAGACUGCAUGUUCUGAAAUUGACCUAGCCUUUCAAAUCGGGUUCCCUACAUUGAAAUAAGAAGCAGUAGCAUGAGUUAUCCUCCAGAAUGGCUCUAUUCUCUGCAUGGUGCAUGGCCACCUUUGGGCCACAGUGCCAUUUCCCAUUUCACCAUCUCUAAUUUUGAAAAAUAUUCUUUUAAAUCCCAUUCUUCAAAUAAUUUUCUAGAUUUUAGUUUGUUUUAAAAUAAUUUCAAACUCGUCCACUUUUCAUCUUUAGUUUCUUUUUCUUAGAUUCCAAAAAUCCAUUUUUCCAAUAAAAUUUUGCUACCACUUUUCUUCCUAGCAAGCCAUUUUCAUAUCUCUUCUGUUUUUUUUAAAUUGUUUUGAAAUAAGCAAGAAUUAAUUCCGUAAUUCCGAAUAAUGGAAUUUAUGGAAUUAAUUCAUGCUAAGAUAAAUGGGCUUUGGUGGGGGCCCAACAUAUGAGAUUUUAUGAUUGAUUGACUGAUUGAUUGAUUCAUUAGCUAUAUGUGAUUGAUUUAUUCUGUUCCUUGGUAUACACAUUAUCCUUCUGUGUUUGUUCACUAACCCUGUUUCUGAUAGCACGUUACGGCUCGUGGCCCCGGUACGCACUCUCUAUACCUAUUCUGUUUCUCAUAUGUGCAUAAUUGAUUCGAGUAUUCAUUGCUUUCCUCAUCAAUUGCCACAUCAGCUUCAUUUUAUUAGUAGAGACCCGAUUUUAGGGACUUAGAGGGGUGCUAUGGUCUUUACCGUACCUUCCCGAUAAGUAACCUGACCCCCGAACCCGAUCCGGUUUUUCGUAGAUCACCUUUUCCAAAUAAGGAGUCACACUUAGGGUUUUUCUUUCUUAUUUUGUUUACCCUUUUAAAAAUAAAACAAAAAUACAGCUAAAAUCGAGCUCGCCAUUGAGUGGGAAACGCAUUGAGAUAGAUCGAAAUGCGGGGUCCACAACGCGUUCUUUUAUUCUCUUUAGUUUUAUAAAAAAGAUGGUAAAAAUGUAGUGAUCUUCUUUUAGUUUCUGUUUUAUAAGUGAGAGGGGACUAAGAUAGUAUUUAUUUUUUGACUGAAUAUAAAAAAUCAAAAUAUAUACAAAUUUACUUUAAUUAUAUUGGACGAUGUUAAUAGGUUACUUUUAGCUAAAUAAAAAAAAAAUCAAAACCUUAGAAAAAUAUUUUAAGUUUUAUUUACUCAAAUCAAUGUUUCCAAAAAUAUCCUUAUUGUCAAAACUGACUUAAAUGAAAAAUAAAUAAAAAAAUAUAAGCAAAAAACAAUUUAAUAGUUUUUAAAAAUAUUAUUAAAUCAUCAUUUGGUUCCCUUUUAUUCUGUCACUUUAAUUCUUUAAAACUAAAUUUAAUUCUUUUAUAACAAUAGAACAUAGGGGCCUAAGGUUGGAAAAUGACAAUUUACCCUAUUUGAAAAAAGAAAAAUUAUAUAUUCAUUUCUAGCCAAAAACAACUUUAUAUGUAAUUGUCAUUUUUUAUCAACCCCCACCGCUGAUGCAAAAGCCUUAACCUUGAAUGGAAUUUUAAUUUCAAAGACAUUUAGCACAUAGGAUAAAAAUUGUGCAUUUCAAUGAUCAAAGCUUCAUAUCUUAAAAGGUAGGUAAAUUUUAAAAUUCAACUAAGUUAUGUCUUCAAAAGACAAUAUUUAAUUGGAUUCUUUCGAGGUGUCAUAGAAUUAGAAAUAUUUUUUGAAUUAUUAUAUUUUAAAAAAUAUAUUUUUUUAAAUUGCCUUACUUUGUUCAAAAUGCCAAGAAGCAGGCAUAGGAACUAUAACAAAGCUCCAUCUCUAUUAGGGUACCAGAGAGGAUGAAUUGAAAAGGCUAGGAAAAUCUAAUUCCAGAAACUUCUACUUGCAUAAGAUACAGAGUGACUACAGAAUAUGCUCAAUGGCAUAGACAAGGAGGCCACACAUGCUUGCUUAUUUAGAUGGUGCAACAUGACAAUGAAAACUAGCAGGACCAGAAAUUACCUCUCACACAAACUGGUCAAGGUACUCAUCCACAGUUGUGUAUUUGACAUCGGGAUAUAGCUCUGAAGCCUCCACUCCAAAUGAUGGCUUGAUCUCAAAGUUGGUGUGGUCUCCCUUAAUGAAAACAGAGUGACUGAUAGAUAAUAUCACAUUGAGUGGAAAAGAGGCUUCUGCAAGAAACACAGGAAAAGCCAUUAAUUUGAAGAUAUUUGUCAUCAUUAAGAUUAUGUUUGGUUUCCAAAAAAUUUGAGGGAAAAUGCAAGAAAAGAAAAUAGAGAGGAAAAGUGGAAAGAAAAAAAAAGAAAAAAAAUAAAAAAAAUGGAUUCAAAAUCAAUAAAUUAUUUUUAAAUGCUAUUUCAAACUCAUUUCACCCAUUUCCCCCUAUUAUAUAAAGAUUAAACAAUUUUAAAAUGUAUAAAUUUUUAAUUAAUUUUAAUUAUAAUUUAUUUUCUUUCAUAUUUUCUAUAAUGAAACCAAGCAUGAGAAAACUAUUUUCUUUAAUAUUUUUUUUAUUUCCUUAAUACUUUCCGAGAGCCAAACAUAGUCUAAAAGAUCAACUAUAUAAACAGGGGCCAAAAAAUGGCCUCAAUGGUAAAAAAAUUAUCCUAUGUAGGAACCUUCCCAAACUUAUUUUUCAAACUAGAACUCUUGAUGCCAUCUACGCCCCAUUUUUAUUUUAUUUUUUUCCUUUUUAGUCAUAAGUUGAAAAUGCAUUUCUGAUUUUAUAAAGAAGUCAAAUUUUGAGCAAUGGUUUGAAACAUGACCCAAACUCAAUAUUAUUUGACCAAAACAGGCCUUUUUUUUAUCCAAAAUUCAUAUAAACACGUAAUGCUUGCAAGUUCAACCAACUCCUCUUUCUUUCUUUUCUUUUAUUCCCUUCAUUUUUCAAAUCCAUUGAGCAACUGCAAAUUGUUAGUCUGUCAUAUGAAUCUCUAAGGAAGACCCUAAUUGAGGUCUGGGGCACGAUCAAAUGAUUUUACCAGCAGGCCACCUAAUAUUUUCUAAGUUAAAACAAUUGAAUCAAGAACCAAUUUCAUUUUAACAAGGUAGCAUAACGAGAAUGUUUCAUUCCCAAUCUCUAUUCCAAUUUAAAUUAACUAGGAAAACCAAAGUAUGAACACUUUUAAAAAAAGAAAAUAUUUCUCACUAACCUUGGAUGUUCUUCAGAACUUGCUCCUCUGGAACAUAAAUCUUCUCAAGGGUUUUUCCAAUCUUCUUUUCCCAUAAGGAGAGAAUUUCGUUGAAUGAGUAGGUGUUCUGAGGAGGCCUGAUGUAAAGGAUUUUGUUCAAGGCUCUAGGAUCAUCCGCAGCUUUAAUAGUAUAGGUGCCAAUGUCAUCCUCCUUGUUAAAAACAGCUGGAGAUGCAAAAAUGAAAUGAGUAAAAUAAAGUAGAAUCAUCUUCUCAUUCCUUCAAGCUUGGACUACUUGGAAAUUCCACUUUUUUUGUUUGAAGAACACAAACUUGAAAUUAUUUUGAUGUGAAACCAAGUUAUUCUUUUUCAUUUAAUGCUUAUGUCAAAAACUCUCAGCUGGAAAGCAACCCAAGAGGACUGUCAAUAUAAAAAAGAGGCUUUAGCCCAUCCAGUUCAGUUUAAAAUCAAAUAAUAAUGAUUAAUUACUAAAAAUGCAUAAUGGUCCCUUCAGUUCAACCACUCCAGGCCACAUGGAUCAUGCUAGUUUCCUGGAUUAUGGCUCACUUGUAAUGUAGCACCCAAGCAGUUGACCUCAACUGUUGGAAGGUUUUGUUUCUGGGUGAACAGGUUUAACCAGCUGGGGAAGGGGGGAGUGGAGAGGGGUUGUCCAGGUUUCAAAUAGCCACAUUCUGAUUUUCAGGAAUACGGACCAUUCUCACCUCAACAACACUGGCAAACCCAUCAAUUUUUCUGCCUGGAGAAGAUAAUAUGCAGCUAUUGGUUGGUGAAAUGGUAAAUUAACACUCUCAAAAGGAUCCCAUGCUCAUUUACAUAACCCACUGAUUAGUAUUACUUUUUAAGCCCACUAUCAUCAGAUGUCACUGAUUAUAUGAGCCAGUGCAUUCUAACAUCAAAAGGAGAAAAUGCAAUGGGAAAUUCAGUUGUUGGAUGAUUUUCAGAGGUUGCUUACCUUUUGGAUUCCCAUCUCCCAAAAUAAUAACUUUAUCCCUGGGGGGAGCGGUGGCUCCAGGCUGUGAUAAUGUAGGAAGGAAAAAGCCAGCAAAGAAGUUGGAGGACACAUAGGUGUAGGGAAUUCCUUCAGCCUCAAUAGUUCGGCGGAUUUGAGCCUUUAUCUCAAAUGCUGUUUUUGCUGGCCCAACCGCAUGGACACGGUCCACAUCAUUUCCAAACUCUGAUGGGAAGAAUCUCUGGAUGAAAUAAAACACUUUAAGAAGUAGCUGUAUAACUCAAUAGAUUGAAAAACCAGUCAUAUCUAUUUAGUCAUAUUAGCUCACAAACAGGGAUCCCAUAUGGGAUACAAGUGUUCAAAUAAAGACAUAAAAUUAGCAAUUCAUAUUAUGGAAGGAAAAAGUGCACUGAUCAGGAUGCUUAAAAAGUGAAAGAAAAAAC
rnacentral:lncRNA from 1 species